rnacentral:rRNA from 1 species
ACGAAGGGGGCUAGCGUUGUUCGGAAUCACUGGGCGUAAAGGGCGCGUAGGCGGCUAUUCAAGUCGGGGGUGAAAGCCUGUGGCUCAACCACAGAAUUGCCUUCGAUACUGUUUGGCUUGAGACCGGAAGAGGACAGCGGAACUGCGAGUGUAGAGGUGAAAUUCGUAGAUAUUCGCAAGAACACCAGUGGCGAAGGCGGCUGUCUGGUCCGGUUCUGACGCUGAGGCGCGAAAGCGUGGGGAGCAAACAGGA